UCAGGCCUAACACAUUUAAGUCGAACGGCAGCACGGGGCAACCUGGUGGCGAGUGGCGAACGGGUGAGUAAAGCAUCGGAACGUACCCGGAAGUGGGGGAUAACGUAGCGAAAGUUACGCUAAUACCGCAUAUUCUGUGAGCAGGAAAGAGGGGGAUCGCAAGACCUCUUGCUUUCGGAGCGGCCGAUGUCGGAUUAGCUAGUUGGUGGGGUAAAGGCCUACCAAGGCGACGAUCCGUAGCUGGUCUUAGAGGAUGAUCAGCCACACUGGGACUGAGACACGGCCCAGACUCCUACGGGAGGCAGCAGUGGGGAAUUUUGGACAAUGGGGGCAACCCUGAUCCAGCCAUGCCGCGUGAGUGAAGAAGGCCUUCGGGUUGUAAAGCUCUUUCAGACGGAAAGAAAAUGCACGGAUUAAUACUCUGUGUAGAUGACGGUACCGUAAGAAGAAGCACCGGCUAACUACGUGCCAGCAGCCGCGGUAAUACGUAGGGUGCGAGCGUUAAUCGGAAUUACUGGGCGUAAAGGGUGCGCAGGCGGUUAUGAAAGACAGGCGUGAAAUCCCCCGGGCUUACCCUGGGAACUGCGUUUGUGACUACAUGACUAGAGUCAGGCAGAGGGGGGUGGAAUUCCACGUGUAGCAUUGAAAUGCGUAGAAGAAGUGGAAGGAACACGAUGGCGAAGGCAGCCCCCUGGGGCCAUGACUGACGCUCAGGCACGAAAGCGGGGGGAGCAAACAGGAUUAGAUACCCUGGUAGUCCACGCCCUAAACGAUGUCAACUAGGUGUUGGUAGGGUAAAACCUAUUAGUACCGUAGCUAACGCGUGAAGUUGACCGCCUGGGGAGUACGGCCGCAAGGUUAAAACUCAAAGGAAUUGACGGGGACCCGCACAAGCGGUGGAUGAUGUGGAUUAAUUCGACGCAACGCGAAAAACCUUACCUACCCUUGACAUGUCAGGAAUCUUGGAGAGAUUUGAGAGUGCCCGCAAGGGAACCUGAACACAGGUGCUGCAUGGCUGUCGUCAGCUCGUGUCGUGAGAUGUUGGGUUAAGUCCCGCAACGAGCGCAACCCUUGUCAUUAAUUGCCAUCAUUUAGUUGGGCACUUUAAUGAAACUGCCGGUGACAAACCGGAGGAAGGUGGGGAUGACGUCAAGUCCUCAUGGCCCUUAUGGGUAGGGCUUCACACGUCAUACAAUGGUCGGUACAGAGGGUUGCCAACCCGCGAGGGGGAGCUAAUCCCAGAAAACCGAUCGUAGUCCGGAUCGUAGUCUGCAACUCGACUACGUGGAGUCGGAAUCGCUAGUAAUCGCGGAUCAAAAUGUCGCGGUGAAUACGUUCCCGGGUCUUGUACACACCAAAGGUCA
rnacentral:rRNA from 1 species